GGGCAGAUAAUAAAACACUGUUUUGAUUCUCAUUUGUGAUUUUGUGUACGUCUGAUUCCCUUAGGAAUCUCAAAAAGGGAAAAUUGACUGAGUAGCUAGGCAGGAUUAUGGCGUCCCAAGCCCCCUGACCUCAGUACCAUCAAUCUGGUUGUUAAAUGCCAUCUUCUUUUCCUUGGAUCAGCAAGGGGUAAUUUUUAGAGCAGGGCCUGGGCAAGCCAGAGGAGUUGGGAAAUGCAGCAAUGGCCAAAUGCCAUUUGGGGGAUAUUUUUAGUUACCUAAAUAAACUGUAUUUCCACAGUGUCUGCAGAGCUUAUGGUUUGUGUGCAGUAAAUAAAAUGAUGGAAUGCCAUGAGGGAGCCCAGCCAGAUGACUCCAUUUGUGUGCAUUCUGUUCCAGAGGAAUCCCUUCAGCAGCAGACGGCUCCAUGUGAUUCAGUGAAGGCGCACAAGCUGCUCUCCAACCGCCGUGGCUUCUUUCCUGUUCUGGUUAUUUUGCCAGUUUCACCACACCACACUCGGAGCAGUUUCCCAGAGAGCGUGGGUGUUAAUGAUCAGGAGGAACAGAGUUCUGUGAUCAAGUGAAUUUUGGAAAUGCUACGUCAAGCAGAGUUAAAUAAGUCAUCUCCAGAGUCCUGGGUCAUUCUUCUUUCUUGAAGAGUACAAGGAAGAACGCUUCCUGUCAUUCUUUCCAGCACUGCUCCAGCAUAAUUCCUGGUGAUUUAAAUACAGUUGAUUCUCAUUAUUUGGGGUAGUUAGGGUGUAUAAACUUGCGAUGAACACCGAAUCAGUGAAUACUAAACAUCGUUCCUAGGGGAAAAGCACAAGUUCCUGCAAGCUUCUGGUAACUACAUUGUCAUGAAUAGAUCAAACAUAACCCUGUUUUAUAUAUGUUUCUGUCUAAAGACACCUUGUUUAAUAUAUAUUGUUGAUUCAUUAACAUUGAACUUACAGCUAGAAUGCAUGCUUGAAAGAAGCUUUUCUAACACAAAUUAUGUAUUUAUGUAUUUAUUUAUUUAUUUUCCCAUAAGGUACAUCACAGCCUUCUUGUACUUAGGAGUGCUAGGCAGCACUAAGCUUGAGGACCAUUUUUAGGUUUUUUGUUUUUUUGAGACAGGAUCUCACCAUAUCACCUAGGCUGGAGUACAGUGGUGCCAUCAUGGCUCACUGCAGCCUCGACCUCCCUGGGCUCAGGUGAUCCUCCCAUCUCAGCCUCCAGAGUAGCUGGGACUACAGGCACAUGCCACCAGCAGGCCUGGCUAAUUUUUUUUUUUGGUAUUUUUUGUAGAGAUGGGGUUUUGCCAUGUUGCCCAGGCUGCUCUCAAACUCCUGGGCUCAAGUGACCCACCCGUCUCAGCCUUUUAAAUUGCUGGGAUUACAGGUGUAAGCCACCCUACCCAGUCAUUGGGGACCAUUUUGAACAGCAAAAUCACCAACAAAAAGCACAAAAAUGCAAAAAACAUGGCACUAAAUAGUGAAAAGGACACUUGUUUAUAGCCUGAGAGCUGAAACAAGAAGGCAGAGUGUCGCCUCAUUUGACUCAGCUGGUGGCGUGCACGUUGGGCAACUCAAAUUUUUUGCUGCUCUGCACAUGUCUGCGAAUGACUGCUAAAGUUCCAAGCAUAUUGAUUUUUGGGGCUGCAAAUAAAUUUUAGAAAGUAGACAAAUUUGCAAACAGAGAAUCUGUGAAUAAUGAGGAUUGGCUGUGUCUAUGUUGAUGAUCUUUCUGAUGAUGUGAGCACUGCAUUUCUUGACUUUCUGUCUAAGUAUGGUAGAUCUUGUCUACCAUACUAUUUUAGCCAUGCACCCCCAAGAUCAUGCCGAAUGUCAUGAAAAGACAAUAUUUCCCAUCCCAACACCUGUUUUUUAUACAGGGAUCUGAAAGUGUCAGAACCAGGGUAAUUUUUUCUUUGAUGUCUCAUCCCCUCUGUGUUUACACCCCCACCUCCCUAUCCAUAUGCUGAAACCCUAACCCCCAGUGUGGCUGUGGCCUCUAAGGAAGUGAUUAAGGUUAAACGAAGUUGUAAGGGUGGGGCCGUGAUCUGAUAGGAUUAAUGUUCUUAUAAGAAAAGACACUGGGGUUGGCCCGCACAUGCGCUCACUCAUGCUCAUGUGCGGUCUCUCUCUCUUUCCCCCUCCUUGUGCCCUCAGAGGAAAGGCCAUGUAAGGAUGCAGGAAAAAGUCAGUAAUCUGCAAGCCAGGAAGAAAGCUGUGGCACCACCAGAAUCUGCAAUCCGCUAGAACCUUGAUCUUAAACUUCCCAGCUUCCAAAACUGGGAGAAAAUAAAUUUCUGUUGUUUAAGCCA